AUUGAACGCUGGCGGCAUGCCUUACACAUGCAAGUCGAACGGCAGCACGGGGGCAACCCUGGUGGCGAGUGGCGAACGGGUGAGUAAUAUAUCGGAACGUGCCCUAGAGUGGGGGAUAACUAGUCGAAAGAUUAGCUAAUACCGCAUACGAUCUACGGAUGAAAGUGGGGGAUCGCAAGACCUCAUGCUCCUGGAGCGGCCGAUAUCUGAUUAGCUAGUUGGUAGGGUAAUAGCCUACCAAGGCGACGAUCAGUAGCUGGUCUGAGAGGACGACCAGCCACACUGGAACUGAGACACGGUCCAGACUCCUACGGGAGGCAGCAGUGGGGAAUUUUGGACAAUGGGGGCAACCCUGAUCCAGCAAUGCCGCGUGAGUGAAGAAGGCCUUCGGGUUGUAAAGCUCUUUUGUCCGGAACGAAACGCGCUGAGCUAAUACCUCGGCGUAAUGACGGUACCGGAAGAAUAAGCACCGGCUAACUACGUGCCAGCCGCCGCGGUAA
rnacentral:rRNA from 1 species